AAACAAACUUUAUCUUUAUAAACACUUGCACGUAAUACAUGAAAACAUGCUUAUUGUAAAAAUUCAAACAAUGUACAGCAAAAAGUCACGGAAGAAACACAGAGGAGAAAGUCAACACUUCUCUUCAUGUUUUCUCUCUUUAACUCCAUUUGUCCCCUUCUCCUCUCUAAUGACAGGCAUAAUUCAAGAGUGUGGUUUGUGUGUUUUCAAAAUCACUGAAGCAUAUACCUAGAAUUUGGGAACAUAUUUAUUUAGAUAGAGAUAGAAUUAUAAUGUAAUUCUCUAAUGUAAUUCUUAGAACAUUGUUCUAAGACUUUUCUUUCCUCCCUUAAAUAUAUUUGUAGUUUUGUUGGUUGGAAUUUUAAUACUAAAUCCUACUGCUGACCCG
rnacentral:lncRNA from 1 species